rnacentral:lncRNA from 1 species
UCCCCCAUACUUAAGCCAUUGAUCGUCCCUGAGCAAUCAAAAAAAAUCAAGAAGAAUUUCAGAAAUAUCAAGACUAAUAAAGAGUUGUUGCAUCGCUCAUGCUUGGGAUGAAUUCCGAAAUCAUCAGUCAAGAUUUUGGUUUAUUCAAGAGAGGAAAAUAUAAAGGAAACUAAUCACGCGUCUUUGAUCAAUUCUCACCUGAAAAGAAUAGAAUUGUUAACACUCUUCACUCAUUGUGUUUAGGCUAGUAUAAUGCUCUCAAAUUGAAAUCAACCGUAAUUAACCCCAUAGGCUUGCUUGUCCAUCUUACCUUAACAUAAAACAUAAAAUUUCAUAAAUAUAAUCGAGACCAAAUUAUGGUUGUAAUGGGGCUGAGGUAAUGUGCAGUGGACGGGAGGAAUUUAUU